rnacentral:rRNA from 1 species
UACGUAGGGUGCAAGCGUUGUCCGGAAUUAUUGGGCGUAAAGAGCUCGUAGGCGGUCUGUCGCGUCGGCUGUGAAAACCUGGGGCUCAACUCCGGGCCUGCAGCCGAUACGGGCAGACUAGAAUUCGGUAGGGGAGACUGGAAUUCCUGGUGUAGCGGUGAAAUGCGCAGAUAUCAGGAGGAACACCGGUGGCGAAGGCGGGUCUCUGGGCAUUAACUGACGCUGAGGAGCGAAAGCAUGGGGAGCGAACAGG